rnacentral:lncRNA from 1 species
UGCUGGCUCUAGCUCUCGCGAUCAGCAAAGUGCUGCCUACCAUCCAGAUUGCUUAUGUGUUGAGGUAAGUAAUAUCAUUGUCUUUUCACUUCAGAACACAUUUUAUAUACAAUUUUACUAACUACAAAAUUAAUCAGGAAUGUGGUCGACUGAAGCAGUUGAUUGAUAAGGAAAUAACCAAGCUCCAAGCGGAGAACAAGGGGUUGAAAGAGGAGCUUAUGUCGAUGAAGUCAGAACUCUCUAAGAUGAAUGUAAACAUGCGUCAAUCAAACAAUUCUUUGAAGCUCAAUGAGGUCAUUCAGAGUCACAAUGUGUUGAAAGAUAGCUUGAGUGACAUCAGGUUG